AGAGUUUGAUCCUGGCUCAGAACGUACGCUGGCGGCACGCCUAACACAUGCAAGUCGAACGAAGUAGCAAUACUUAGUGGCAGACGGGUGAGUAACAUGUAGGUAUCUGCCCUUUGGCCUGGAAUAACACGAGGAAACUUGUGCUAAUACCGGAUAAGUCUUUACGGAGAAAGCUUUAUGCACCAUUGGAUGAGCCUGCACUUGAUUAGUUUGUUGGUGGGGUAAUGGCCUACCAAGACUGUGAUCAAUAGCUGAUUUGAGAGGAUGAUCAGCCACAUUGGGACUGAGACACGGCCCAAACUCCUACGGGAGGCAGCAGUGGGGAAUCUUGCACAAUGGAGGAAACUCUGAUGCAGCGAUGCCGCGUGAGUGAAGAAGGCCUUUGGGUUGUAAAGCUCUUUCGUCGGGGAAGAAAAUGACUGUACCCGAAUAAGAAGGUCCGGCUAACUUCGUGCCAGCAGCCGCGGUAAUACGAAGGGACCUAGCGUAGUUCGGAAUUACUGGGCUUAAAGAGUUCGUAGGUGGUUGAAAAAGUUAGUGGUGAAAUCCCAGAGCUUAACUCUGGAACUGCCAUUAAAACUUUUCAGCUAGAGUAUGAUAGAGGAAAGCAGAAUUUCUAGUGUAGAGGUGAAAUUCGUAGAUAUUAGAAAGAAUACCAAUUGCGAAGGCAGCUUUCUGGAUCAUUACUGACACUGAGGAACGAAAGCAUGGGUAGCGAAGAGGAUUAGAUACCCUCGUAGUCCAUGCCGUAAACGAUGUGUGUUAGACGUUGGAAAUUUAUUUUCAGUGUCGCAGGGAAACCGAUAAACACACCGCCUGGGGAGUACGACCGCAAGGUUAAAACUCAAAUGAAUUGACGGGGACCCGCACAAGUAGUGGAGCAUGUGGUUUAAUUCGAAGAUACGCGCAGAACCUUACCAACACUUGACAUGUUCGUCGCAACUCUAAGAGAUUAGAGUUUUCGGUUCGGCCGGACGAAACACAGGUGCUGCAUGGCUGUCGUCAGCUCGUGUCGUGAGAUGUUGGGUUAAGUCCCGCAACGAGCGCAACCCUCACUUUUAGUUGCCAUCAUUAAGUUGGGCACUCUGAAAGAACUGCCAGUGAUAAGCUGGAGGAAGGUGGGGAUGACGUCAAGUCCUCAUGGCCCUUACGUGUUGGGCUACACACGUGCUACAAUGGUAUCUACAACAGGAAGCAAGACUGCGA
rnacentral:rRNA from 1 species